CUGAUUGGCUGCAUCCCAACGGCCCAG
rnacentral:ncRNA from 2 species